rnacentral:RNase_MRP_RNA from 2 species
UCCUCGCUCAAAGAAUCGCAUUCAAAGCUCACACACAGAGAGAUAUCUUUAUGAUUCUCUCUUCCUCCAGCUUUGGGAGAAAGUCCCCGGACAUCCUGACUGUUUAAACGUCCUCUUGCAGGGCCCAGUCAGGCAAUGCGGAAACGCGCCGCCAUAGAAGCAAUUCGAUAGCGGCUUAUACGCCCUAUUCCCCUCCCAGUGUUGUCUCUGUACCCGAACACAGGUUUUGACCGGCUUGUGGGUAACAAUGGUUGGUGCAGGGCAGUGCUGGAGAGGGGGUUUUAUCUGGGUUGCCUUUCGUCGUGUUUGGAUAGUCAUGCGAUUGCCCUCUUAUAUAUUUCUUCGAACAGACCUCCAUUCGGCUGAAAAGUUGGGGAGGAUUCAUCGGGAAAUCAAGGGGGUAACUCAAUGGGGCUCAUUCUUGAGGCGAGG